CAUACAUACCACAGUCUACAUACAUAUCACAGUCUUCAUACAUAUCACAGUCUACAUACAUACCACAGUCUACAUUCAUACCACAGUCUACAUACAUAUCACAGUCUACAUACAUAUCACAGUCUACACAGUCUACAUACAUAUCACAGUCAACAUACAUACCACAGUCUACACCGUCUACAUACAUAUCACAGUCUACACAGUCUACAAGAAGGGCAUUGGAUGGUCAUCCACUUUGACAAGUAAACAUAAUUAGAAAGAGUGAAGCUUGCCUUUUUACCAAAUAUGGCAUCAAAGUGCUCUGUAAAUUAAUAAUCAGAAUCACGUAUAUAUUUUGUCAUUGCAGCAAUAAGUGCUUGCAUGUAUUUGUGAGAAAUCUCUGUCUUCCAUACAUACAAGUAGAUAGCAAUAUUUAUGUUGUUCACUAACCUACAGUACACAAACAUCAUGUUUAAAUGAUAUGUAGUGUUACUUUAAAACACUUUGACAUGUAGCAGAAUUCUUUAUUUAGUUGGUGCUGGUGUAUAUAUAUAUGUUUACAGCUGAAUUGCUGAAACAUAUUGACAACAUAAUGUGCUGUAUAUGUAAUCUACAUAUUGACAACAUAAUGUGCUGUAUAUGUAGUCUACAUGUUGACAACAUAAUGUGCUGUAUAUGUAAUCUUCAUGUUGACAACAUAAUGUGCUGUAUAUGUAAUCUUCAUGUUGACAACAUAAUGUGCUGUAUAUGUAAUCUUCAUGUUGACAACAUAAUGUGCUGUAUAUGUAAUCUUCAUGUUGACAACAUAAUGUGCUGUAUAUGUACCCUUCAUAUUGACACCAUAAUGUGCUGUAUAUGUAACCUACAUGCUGACAACAUAAUGUGCUGUAUAUGUAAUCUACAUAUUGGCAACAUAAUGUGCUGUAUAUGUAAUCUACAUAUUGGCAACAUAAUGUGCUGUAUAUGUAAUCUACAUAUUGGCAACAUAAUGUGCUGUAUAUGUAAUCUACAUAUUGGCAACAUAAUGUGCUGUAUAUGUAAUCUACAUAUUGGCAACAUAAUGUGCUGUAUAUGUAAUCUACAUAUUGGCAACAUAAUGUGCUGUAUAUGUAAUCUACAUAUUGGCAACAUAAUGUGCUGUAUAUGUAAUCUACAUAUUGGCAACAUAAUGUGCUGUAUAUGUAAUCUACAUAUUGUCAACAUAAUGUGCUGUAUAUGUAACCGACAUGUUGACAUCAUAAUGUGCUGUAUAUGUAAUCUACAUGUUGACAACAUUAUAUGCUGUAUAUGUAAUCUACAUGUUGACAACAUAAUGUGCUGUAUAAUAGUAAUCUACAUAUUGACAACAUAAUGUGCUGUAUAUGUAAUCUACAUGUUGCUGAAAUGGCAACAAUUAACACAAUUUUUGAAUGCAAUUAUUUCCUAGAACAACAAUAAAUUAAUGAAAACGAA